GCGUGGUGACCUUUAAAUCCGUCCCUGCUACUUCUGCACUGUAUUUCUUACCCACUGCUGCUUCACCAAAGCCACUGGGCCAUGUUCAGCACAGCACAGUUCUGGAAGAGUCUGUUAUACUGGGAGCUUAAAGGAAAAGUAGUAGAAGAGGAGGAGUUCAUCAGAGCAGCCCAUCAGUCCCAUUCACUGCAGAGAAGAAAGAGUUGAGAACUUCAGUUUCAAGAGACACUGUUGCGCAUUGAUCUCUGUGGGCACGCUCUGCUAACUGCCAAGAGGUUCACACUUCAAAUCAAUUGGAGCAAAUCUCAAGCUAUAUGACACUGAAAACAGUCCUCUUUCUUUCAAAAAAACCUACGCCAAACAUCCUGAUCUUCUGUGAAAGCAACAAAACUGUAGAUGGACAAAUCUGCUUAUUUCCAGGUAGAAAUGCAUCUCGGUAUUUUAUUUUGGCUCUGGGGUGAAUAGCUGCAAUAUCUACAUAAGAAAGAAAUGUUGUCACGUGGUCUGCCACAUAUCAAAUGCAGCUGUAGAACUCACAGAUUACAAGAGUACA